CACGACUGAAGCGACUUAGCAGCAGCAGAGAAAAAGAAUGAUGUAUCAAUUAGCAAGCUAUACUUUUCCUAAAUGCCAAAGACAUUAAUAUCUCAACAAGUGAAAAAUAUAUUAAGAGUUGGUUAACUAAUAUCAAGUCAGUGAUUUAAUUUAUAUUCAGAAGGCUUUAACAUAUUAAUUCUAAGAUACUUUUAAAAAGAACAUAAAAAUCACUAAUAUUCAUUAUGUGUCAAUAAUUACUUUUAAUUUUUUAUUGUUCAGCUGCACUUAAAUAAAAUGAGAAAAUUAGAAUUAAUUUGGUUAGGAGGAUUUAAUUUCAAAAUAUUCCUCCUUUCUCCUCACAAGUUUUCAUUAUGGGCCAAACCCAAAAAAUAUUCCUUUAGGAAAUUAUACAAUUUAAUCAUUUUAUGUAUCCAGUUUUCUCUUUAAAUCCUUUUGGAGGCAUAAUGGGUAUUUAUACACAAUUUCAAGAGAUUAAACAUAAGAAAAUAACUGCUACCACAAGCUAAUGGAUACUUUCAGUUCAGUGCUUUACCUCUCUGGUGGUGUUCCUAUUAUUUUUCUUAAAACUUGAACUCUCCCUUGAAUAGGUUUCAUCAUAUCCCAGUUCAAAUUUAUGAAUUCAAUUACAUAUCUUUUGCAUCUCGUUUUUCAGACUGCAUCUACUGAAGUUUUUAAACUUUCACUAGUUUACAACCAUAUGUAUAAAGAAAUACACUUUUCUACCCAACUUAAAAACUAGAAUAAAAACUGAUUCACCCUAAUAUUUAGUAAAGUUCAUUUAUUCAGCAUUCUGUUAACUAGAACUCAUUAACAAGCAUUUAUGGCCACGCAUAGUACCAAAAAUAUUCAGUUGUCAAAAUGACACCUCUGUGGCAUUUAACAUUUGAACAACCCGGGAUUAAACCCAGAUCUCCCACGUUGUAGGCAGACGCUUUACCCUCUGAGCCACGAGGGAAACCCUUGAAAAGACAAUAAAAUAUAAAUCACUCUAUAGCUUUGAAAACUGGUAGUAGAGCUUCCCUGGUGACUCAGUGAUAAAGAAUUCUCCUGCCAAUGUAGGAGACACAGGUUUGAUGCCUGAGUGAGGAAGAUCCCCUAGAGAAGAAAAUGGCAACCAACUCCAG
rnacentral:lncRNA from 1 species